CUGCAUCAGCAGGCACAGGGCUUACACAGGUCUGCACCAGGUCCCCUGCAUAUAUAUGAUUGCUUUCAGUUUAGUGGUUUUAUGGGACUCCUGAAUAUGUAAACGAAGUGCAGUGAGGUGAGGCCUCUGUGACCUCACAGGGUAAAGCCCCGCCCUAGUAACAGCAGACUUCUUAGCCUGAGGACAACUCAGAGUCCAGCAAGGACGGCUGGCAUUCAUAGUGAGCACAUGUGUCUGCCCAUGUUUGGGCUGUUUUCGUGGAAUGGGUGCUACCUGAAAUUCAUCACGAAUAUUCCAAUAGAUCACAGCUAACAACAAAGUAGUUUUGGACAAAUAUGGUCUCAAAAGUAUGCUGUACUUCAAUCCCCCACCCCCGAAAAUCAGAUACCUUGACCCAGAAAAAUUCUGGACCUAGGUAUGUGGGUCUGAAAUGGAAGAGGCCCAGAAUAAAAAAAGUAUGUAUCCUGGCCAAA